CGGCUCAACUUAUCCUGGAGGUGAAGAAGCUUCCAAGGGUAUGGCUGUUCGCCAUUUAAAAAGUUACGCGAGCUGG
rnacentral:ncRNA from 1 species